UACGGAGGAUCCAAGCGUUAUCCGGAUUUAUUGGGGUUAAAGGGUGCGUAGGCGGCCUAUUAAGUCAGGGGUGAAAGACGGUAGCUUAACUAUCGCAGUGCCUUUGAUACUGAUGGGCUUGAAUGUACUUGAGGUAGGCGGAAUGUGACAAGUAGCGGUGAAAUGCAUAGAUAUGUCACAGAACACCAAUUGCGAAGGCAGCUUACUAAAGUAUGAUUGACGCUGAGGCACGAAAGCGUGGGGAUCAAACAGG
rnacentral:rRNA from 1 species